UACGUAGGGGGCAAGCGUUGUCCGGAUUUAUUGGGCGUAAAGAGCGCGUAGGCGGUCUGGUAGGUCCGUUGUGAAAACUCGAGGCUCAACCUCGAGACGCCGAUGGAAACCAUCAGACUAGAGUCCGGAAGAGGAGAGUGGAAUUCCUGGUGUAGCGGUGAAAUGCGCAGAUAUCAGGAAGAACACCCGUGGCUAAGGCGGCUCUCUAGUACGGUACUGACGCCGAGACGCGAAAGCGUGGGGAGCGAACAGG
rnacentral:rRNA from 1 species